rnacentral:rRNA from 1 species
CAAAAACAUCGCCUCCUGCAAAAAUCAACAUAUAGGAGGUCCUGCCUGCCCAGUGACUAAAAAUUAAACGGCCGCGGUAUUUUGACCGUGCAAAGGUAGCGCAAUCACUUGUCUUUUAAAUGAAGGCCUGUAUGAAUGGUGGAACGAGGGCUUAACUGUCUCCCCCCUCUGGUCAAUGAAAUUGAUCUGUCCGUGCAGAAGCGGGCAUAAUUAUACAAGACGAGAAGACCCUUUGGAGCUUAAGAUAAAAGACCAACUAUGUCAAAAGUCCUGAAAAAGACUAAACCAAGUAGCACUGGUCCUAAUCUUCGGUUGGGGUGACCACGGGAGAAAGCAAAGCUCCCACGCGGACUGGGGAAACCCCCAAAACUAAGAGAGACAUCUCUAAUGCACAGAACAUCUGACCAAAAAGAUCCGGCGAUAUGCCGACCAACGAACCAAGUUACCCUAGGGAUAACAGCGCAAUCCUCUUCCAGAGUCCAUAUCGACAAGAGGGUUUACGACCUCGAUGUUGGAUCAGGACAUCCUAAUGGUGCAGCCGCUAUUAAGGGUUC